rnacentral:rRNA from 1 species
UGCAGUCGAACGGCAGCACAGAAGAGCUUGCUCUUUGGGUGGCGAGUGGCGGACGGGUGAGUAAUGUCUGGGAAACUGCCCGAUGGAGGGGGAUAACUACUGGAAACGGUAGCUAAUACCGCAUAACGUCGCAAGACCAAAGUGGGGGACCUUCGGGCCUCACACCAUCGGAUGUGCCCAGAUGGGAUUAGCUAGUAGGUGGGGUAAUGGCUCACCUAGGCGACGAUCCCUAGCUGGUCUGAGAGGAUGACCAGCCACACUGGAACUGAGACACGGUCCAGACUCCUACGGGAGGCAGCAGUGGGGAAUAUUGCACAAUGGGCGCAAGCCUGAUGCAGCCAUGCCGCGUGUAUGAAGAAGGCCUUCGGGUUGUAAAGUACUUUCAGCGGGGAGGAAGGCGGUGAGGUUAAUAACCUUGCCGAUUGACGUUACCCGCAGAAGAAGCACCGGCUAACUCCGUGCCAGCAGCCGCGGUAAUACGGAGGGUGCAAGCGUUAAUCGGAAUUACUGGGCGUAAAGCGCACGCAGGCGGUCUGUUAAGUCAGAUGUGAAAUCCCCGGGCUUAACCUGGGAACUGCAUUUGAAACUGGCAGGCUUGAGUCUCGUAGAGGGGGGUAGAAUUCCAGGUGUAGCGGUGAAAUGCGUAGAGAUCUGGAGGAAUACCGGUGGCGAAGGCGGCCCCCUGGACGAAGACUGACGCUCAGGUGCGAAAGCGUGGGGAGCAAACAGGAUUAGAUACCCUGGUAGUCCACGCCGUAAACGAUGUCGACUUGGAGGUUGUGCCCUUGAGGCGUGGCUUCCGGAGCUAACGCGUUAAGUCGACCGCCUGGGGGAGUACGGCCGCAAGGUUAAAACUCAAAUGAAUUGACGGGGGCCCGCACAAGCGGUGGAGCAUGUGGUUUAAUUCGAUGCAACGCGAAGAACCUUACCUGGCCUUGACAUCCAGAGAACUUAGCAGAGAUGCUUUGGUGCCUUCGGGAACUCUGAGACAGGUGCUGCAUGGCUGUCGUCAGCUCGUGUUGUGAAAUGUUGGGGUUAAGUCCCGCAACGAGCGCAACCCUUAUCCUUUGUUGCCAGCGGUUCGGCCGGGAA